UUUGUGCAGUCCUUUAGCUUGCUGUAGACUUGUAGAUAUGUAGCGAAAGCAAGUAGGGUUUGGUAUGUGAUUUUUGUAGCUUUUAUUAUGAUACAUUCUUUAAACAUGUGCUAUGGUUUACCUGUUAUUAGCAUCCGUAGCGGGAAUGGUUGCCGAUCUCUGUUGGACACACUCGGAUGGCAGUUCGGUGUGUGCAUCAGAUAACUGUAUCCAUUUUAGUUCUGCUUGCUCUGAUUAAAGUGGAAAGUACUACCGUUAUCUUAUAUGUUGUUCUGUUAGGAUUGAAUACAACAAGAGACGUGCCCAUUUCUGUUAUAGUACCCCUGAAUAAAAUGGUAAAUACUGCAGUUAUCAUAUACAAUCUCUCAGGAGUGAAUACCACAAGAAGCGCAUUUUUGUUAAUAUCCCCUGCUUCCUGAUGUAUUUGUUUCUUGGUAAAAGUGAACUUCCAAUGAAUAUUUUUGUGCUGGAGCAGGCUGGAGGGGUAUUCGGCUGUGCACAUUUAAUUAUAGUAUCUGGUGGAGAUACCCUGUUCAAGGACAGGGGGGCGGGGGUGUGAACUUUGUGAAAUCCUGUCCUAUUGAUGACUUUGCAAACUUAUCAGGAGGUGGUGUUAGGAAAUCUAAACAGUUUAAACUAUAUAGGAAGACAUUUAUAGGUUAGAAACAAUCUGUUCUACUUCUGCAGAUUAUCUAGAUAAGUGAUGAAGUUUACUUAGUAUAGUAUUUUUUUUUCUGUCACUUCUUUAUCUACCAAAAGUGUGAACCCAUGGUAUGAGCCACUAAUGCAAGCAUCGUCAUUCUUUUCUGAGUUUGUCUAAUUCACAUCUAAAUGUUUUCUAAGGAUGUCACAUCUAAGCUCCCACAAAUAACGCAGCAACAAGGAACAAAAAAAAAGCUGGGGCAAAAAAAAAAUACACCACAAACAUAGUGGACACAAGGUUAGACGUGACAUAAAUGUGUCCUAGACAGACCCUUCUUUUCUUAGUGAAACAUCAACUUUCCAAAGACAAUAUUCCAAACUGGACAGUUGAUACAUAGAGCUAUUUUACUUUAACAUUUAAAGUGUGGCUGCAAAUCUGGGAUGCAGGAGGUGAAAAUUCAUUGUCUAAUCUGUUUCUCAGUUUCCUCUUUCAGAAACGAGAGAUUUUUCAAGACCUUGCUCCACUGCUGUGGCACUCCUUUGGCACUGUUGCUGCACUGCUCCAGGAGAUUGUGUCAAUUUACCCUUCACUUUCACCUCCUACUUUGUCGCUAGUUGCAUCAAACCGUGUCUGCAAUGCACUUGCACUUCUUCAGUGUGUUGCUUCACACCCUGAGACCAGGAUCCCGUUCUUGAAUGCUCACAUCCCACUGUACAUGUACCCGUUCCUGAAUACUACCAGCAAGACAAGACCUUUUGAGUACUUGAGGCUUACCAGCUUGGGUGUUAUUGGUGCUCUUGUGAAGGUAAAUUAAAACUAGAUACUUAUGCAAACUAGGAAUGGAUGGUCCAUAUAGAUUUUUGCUUUAAAUGGUGAGAGGGUUGAACCAGAGGG